UACGUAGGGUGCGAGCGUUGUCCGGAAUUAUUGGGCGUAAAGGGCUUGUAGGCGGUCUGUCGCGUCUGCUGUGAAAAUCCGGGGCUCAACCCCGGACUUGCAGUGGGUACGGGCAGACUAGAGUGUGGUAGGGGAGACUGGAAUUCCUGGUGUAGCGGUGAAAUGCGCAGAUAUCAGGAGGAACACCGGUGGCGAAGGCGGGUCUCUGGGCCGAUAUUGACGCUGAGGAGCGAAAGCGUGGGGAGCGAACAGG
rnacentral:rRNA from 1 species